rnacentral:rRNA from 1 species
UACGUGGGGUCCAAGCGUUAUCCGGAAUCACUGGGCGUAAAGCGUGCGUAGGUGGAUGUUUAAGUGUGAUGUUAAAUCGUGUGGCUCAACCAUAUCGAUGCAUCGCAUACUGGACGUCUAGAGGACAGCAGAGGCAAGUGGAAUUUGUAGUGUAGCAGUGAAAUGCGUAGAUAUUACAAGGAACACCAAUGGCGAAGGCAGCUUGCUGGGCUACUCCUGACACUGAGGUACGAAAGCGUGGGGAGCGAACAGG